ACCUGGGUGGCUCAGUUAGUUAAGCGUCUGACUUCAGCUCAGGUCAUGAGCUCACGGGUGGGUUCGAGCCCCACAUCAGGCU
rnacentral:tRNA from 1 species